rnacentral:rRNA from 1 species
AAAUGAAUUGACGGGCACCCGCACAAGCGGUGGAGCGUGCUGUUUAAUUCGAAGGUACUCGAAGAACCUUACCUGGGUUUGACAUCCCACAGAUCACCCUAGAAAUAGGGUUUCCCUUCGGGGCUGUGGUGACAGGUGGUGCAUGGUUGUCGUCAGCUCGUGUCGUGAGAUGUUGGGUUAAGUCCCAUAACGAGCGCAACCCUUAUUCUUAGUUGCUACCAUUAAGUUGAGCACCCUAAGGAGACUGCCGGUGAUAAGCCGGAGGAAGGUGGGGAUGAGGUCAAAUCAUCAUGCCCCUUAUGCCCAGGGCUACAGGCGCGCUACAAUGGCCGGUACAAUGAGCAGCAAUAUCGUGAGAUGGAGCAAAUCUCAAAAGCCGGUCUCAGUUCAGAUUGAAGUCUGCAACUCGACUUCAUGAAGUCGGAAUCGCUAGUAAUCGCGAAUCAGCAUGUCGCGGUGAAUACGUUCCCGGGUGUUGUACACACCGCCCGU